CGGAUUUCUCCCCCCCCCCCAUGUGGUCACCUCUGAGGGUUUUUACAUCAAGGUGUAAAAGGUCAAGGAGAAUUGAAAAGAAGAAAAACAAAAAGAAAAUAAGAGGAUGAGAAUUACAAAAUUUUUUAAGCAUAUUCUUUUGGAAUAGAAGACGCUAGAUGAAUAGAAGCUCUUGUUCUACAUAAUCGUCUUAGAUGUAUCAGAUCCGCUGCGCCCCUUAGCUACUCCUCUGGAAUCCUUAUUCUGUCUGAUUUUGUUUCAAAGGGAAAGCAUGCGCCUUAUUUAGAUGACAGCAAAGAAAUAUUUGUGUUUCUCAGCCUGGCAACGGCGGUCAUGCCCUGAAGUUUAUUUGGAGUAUAGAGGAUUCCUAAAUGCCACAAAGCUGUAUCCUACUGAAGUUUCCUUCUAAUUUUGUCCUUGUUACCUAAAAGCUACAGCCACAAGGCAGAAUAGCAGGCAACAAUAUUUUAGAAAAGGACAUGGGGUGGAAUUUAUCACUGUAUGUCUAAAUAAAUAUGUA